UGGGGAUCAUAUGGAGGUUAGUAUCUUAAUUCUAAGCUUUUCUCAUUGGGUUACAGAUCAGAUAUUUAACUGCUGGCUAUUUGUUUCAGAGACUGCCUAUUGGUUGAUCCUAAAGAGCUUGCAGACCCAUCUUUUAACUCCCAGCAACAGAGGGAAAGGUUCUCACAUCUUUUGCAUCUGGCUGUGCUACCUCAUUAGUAGUUGAUAGGUGAAUCCAAGCAAUGGACAUAGUCAAGGCAAUUACCAGCUCCUUUGAGAAAGGAUGUUGGGGCACAAAGUCUCCAAAGAGUUUGAAGCAAGUUCAUUCUGGAGCAGCUCAUUUGUGCAUGAAAUUCAUGGAGGACUGUUAUAUACCACUUUUUAUGAUUUUAAGUUCUUUCUUGUAUUGGUUUAGCCAUAAAUUUCAA